AUUGAACGCUGGCGGCAUGCCUUACACAUGCAAGUCGAACGGCAGCGCGGGAGCAAUCCUGGCGGCGAGUGGCGAACGGGUGAGUAAUACAUCGGAACGUGCCCAAUCGUGGGGGAUAACGCAGCGAAAGCUGUGCUAAUACCGCAUACGAUCUACGGAUGAAAGCUGGGGAUCGCAAGACCUUGCGCGAAUGGAGCGGCCGAUGGCAGAUUAGGUAGUUGGUGAGGUAAAGGCUCACCAAGCCUUCGAUCUGUAGCUGGUCUGAGAGGACGACCAGCCACACUGGGACUGAGACACGGCCCAGACUCCUACGGGAGGCAGCAGUGGGGAAUUUUGGACAAUGGGCGAAAGCCUGAUCCAGCCAUGCCGCGUGCAGGAUGAAGGCCUUCGGGUUGUAAACUGCUUUUGUACGGAACGAAACGGUCUUUUCUAAUAAAGAAGGCUAAUGACGGUACCGGAAGAAUAAGCACCGGCUAACUACGUG
rnacentral:rRNA from 1 species